AAACCCACUCGAACUUUCAUCUCCCUCUCGCAACAUAAUGAGAUGAGAAAUUGCUCUUCUGUAUUCCCCUUUGGACGUUUUUACUAUGACGGACCGAACUCGUCCAUCGGAGUCAGGGAAAACUUCAAUAACGCGACCUAAUGGCCAUUGACAUCGAGGAAAUCCAUCCACAACGAGCAAAACGAGAUCUUCUACGGCCACAUUUCUUUUUUCUUGUUGCCACUUAGUUCUGCUCAGCAAUCCAGACAAAUACUCCUUUGACCAACGCUUCCAAAAGAGAUCCGCUAAAUAUUGAACUUGUCGCCACCGUUGCUUUGCAUAUUGAUGGGAAGAAAAUACACCUGGUGGGAAAGUGGCUCCACUCUUGAAAAGUAGGAGAUGAUUGGGCGUCAAUGGUUGAGGAUCAUUUGGAUCGUUCGAAAGAGUCGUCAAGGGACGACUGUUCAAAAUAGCUUCAAUCUCACACAUCAAAGUAUUCAAAGAUUCAUCACUUAGAUUACGUUGAUUUUCACUCAUAAGCCCAGACAUCACCUUCCUUAUGGUCCGAAUUUCUCGUUCCCACACGCCCCCAAAAUGAUGACUGUAUGGAGGAUGGAAAUUCCAUUCUAUCCCUCGCAUGAUCAUGUCUUGAUUAAUUUGUAUCUGAUCCAAACCCUCCAACAAUUCACGAAGUUCCCUUUCAGCUCCCACAAAAUUAGUCCCAUUGUCGGACCUCAUUCGUUGCACCUGACCUCUUCUGGCUAUAAACCGUCGUAAAGCUUGAACAAACGAAUCGGUUGUCUUGUCGUAAACAAUCUCCAGAUGAGCUGCGCGACUUAUUAGACAAGUAAAAAUCAGUCCGUAACGAUCUUGGGUGGCUCUUCCCCUCGUAGUCUUGAAAGGGCCGAACAUGUCAACACCGACAUCAACAUACUCCAUGCCCACAGGCGUUUGGUCCGAUAGCUUGAUGGACUUGCCGAUUAUUUUCAUAGCGCACUCUGCUGGAUUGCUCCGCGGGUCAUGAUGGGGCGGUGAGAAUGAGUGAAGUAUGCCUUGGCUCUCUGUGUAUUCGGCAAAUGCAUGGCUUGAAAAUGCUGUCCCGUUGUCGGUUCUAAGCUUGACGGGUGUCCCAUAUUUGUCACAGAUGGAACGCAUGGCGACAAUCGUGUGUUCGUCCGAAGGUGAUCUGACAAACACCGCUGCGAUAAAUCUCGAUAGGUCACACCUCACGACCAGGAGAUCAGUGGUAAUUUGGUUUUUCGACAUGCCCAUCUCGAUACCCAUCCUUUCAAGAGUUCUGGAGUGAAGCGGACAUUUUUGUUGGCCAUUUCACCAAGCAAAGAGGCUUACGAACACAUCAAAAUUAUGUUGGCAAAGUUGGAUUUAGAUGUUGGCGAGGAUCUUGAAGAAUUUUACUCGCAGGGUCUUAAGUGCUUCAACAUCAUUUGCGGUUUGGGAAAUCAUGCCAGCACCCGACCUUGCAUUUAUUGCUUAUGGGUCAAUGGAUGUUACACCAAAGCCAAAUAUUUCAACUCUACCCAGCGCGAGCCAAUCCUUGUUCCACACAAGGAUCCAACGAUUCCCCUUUUACAAGUAUGUGCACUUCCUUGGCUCCACAUCCGUCUUGGAAUUGUAAAUCACGUUUAUUCGAAGAUGAAAAGGGAAAUUCCUCAAAAUGUGGCCCAGAUUGCUCCAUCUGCCAGACGAGCAUUACCCUGGAUCCGGAUUUGAGGGAAAGGAAUGCCAAAAGCUGCUUGAGAAUUUGGACAGUUUGCAGAGGAUCUUAAAGGAAGAGCACCAGGAAUUUAGGGGUGAAAAAUAUGUCCAAGUACACUGGCGUUUUUACCACCUGAACUCAGAGUAUGAUGCGGGUGCUAUUGAUAUUUCUGCUCUUGAAACAUGUGUCCAAAAGAAUUUCCGUGC